rnacentral:rRNA from 1 species
UACGGGGGGGGCAAGCGUUGUUCGGAAUUACUGGGCGUAAAGGGCUCGUAGGUGGCCAACUAAGUCAGACGUGAAAUCCCUCGGCUUAACCGGGGAACUGCGUCUGAUACUGGAUGGCUUGAGUUUGGGAGAGGGAUGCGGAAUUCCAGGUGUAGCGGUGAAAUGCGUAGAUAUCUGGAGGAACACCGGUGGCGAAGGCGGCAUCCUGGACCAACACUGACACUGAGGGACGAAGGCCAGGGGAGCAAACGGG